rnacentral:tRNA from 1 species
GGGGGUAUAGCUCAGCUGGGAGAGCACCUGCCCUGCAAGCAGGGGGUCAUGGGUUCGAAUCCCAUUAUCUCCACCA